CUGAGAAGUGAGAUCAAGUCAGCAAGGGCGUCCGCUGAGGACUACAGCUGCCUCUGAGCAAAUAACCCUCGGUGCCAUUUGGAGCAAGUCAUGUGGAACAGACCACUGCAUAUAAUUAAAAAAAAGACUCACGACAAGGAAUAUGUCAAAGGCUCUUUCAGACAGUGGUGACUGUGCUCGAAGUGUUACAAUGAAAGAUAAGGAAUUGUUUUAAGGUCACCUCUGCAGCCCAUGAUGAUUGAAAUCGGCCAACACCUGAAAUGUUGCGAGGAGGAAUCCAGGCUUUCUCAAGCGAUUAAUAAUGUCCGGGAGAUGUUGAUAAUUCAGCUGGUGUUGUGCAAUUUCGACAAUGCUGCCAGAUCUGCUGAGCUUUUCCAGUAACUUCUGUUUCUGUUUGUGAAGGAGAAAUUAGAAACAGGUGAUCAAAUGCUCGAUCAAUGAAAACUUCCAGGAAAUUUCUAAGGGGCCAGGUAAAGAGUGAGGAGGGCAGAUCUUAAGUCUUCAUUAGCCGUGACAGGAAUUGCAUCCAUGUUGUGGACACUUCUCCGCACCCCAUGCUAGCCAUCCAGCCAACUGAUCUAUCCAGUCUCCAAGCAACAUUAGCCUCAUCAUUAUUUUGAAAGCAAAGUGUCUCCCAUUAUCUCAUGUAAUCUGCAAAUGAUUUCAGGGAACCACUCCAAAGCUCGGUGACGGGCAUCUGAAUGGAUGUAAAUAUGUAGAUGUGUUGCCUUCAACAUUUUAUAAUGCAUAUAAGCAUACUAAGUAAGCUUUUUUAGAAAUGAGAUAUGUAUUGUAUGACACAGAUCUUUUAUCAGCUUCUAUCACCCUGGAGAACAGUAGAAUUUUAUUAAAGAAUAUCAUUGCCAAACAUUGGGCAGUAUUGUACAUUGAUGAAUAACCUCAUUUGGCGAUCAGAAGCUUAAAGCUUUAUAGAUGCAAAAUUACCAAUAUGGGAAUUAUUUUGUUUUUCUCUAAUACCUACAUCUGUCUCUGCAACUCAUUUUCCUGUGUAGGAAGAAUCUACAGCUAUGGUGUGUAGUGAGUAAAAAUGUAAGGGAAGAUUUUCUGUUUGAAUAUUUUAGGUUGGUAAGUCAGCAGCAAUCAUAUCAAUCUAUCAGCAGACUUCAUGAAUUUUAUAUAUCUUAUAAUUGCAAUAUUUGAAAUCACCAUUGGGAAAUUAGUUUGAAUUAUUUCUAAGUUAAUUUCCAAACAACUAACUGACCCAAACUGCCCUGGACAAAUUGAUCUGGGCGAUAGCACAUCAGCUGCAAAUACUGAAGAAUGUUUUCUCAAACCAAAUAAGCUCUCAAACUAUUUUGGAGGAGUUUUAUUUUUGCAAAUUUAUUUGGAGAAUAGAAAGAAGCUAGUGUGAAAUAAGCCAGCAAUGUGUUAACCCUUGUUGGAUGCUGUCACAAAUAAUCCUACGAUAGCUUCUGAUUCAAAUGCCCUUAAUCCACUUUAGAUAAACAGAGGGUAACUUGGCAGCCAACUGAGCAAUAUACCACAUUUGAGGUAUUUCUUUCUGAUGAAUGUGAUUUCAUCUAAAUCCCUAACAGAUUUAAAUAAAAACAUUGAGUGCUGGAUAUACUUACAGAUCUGCCAACUUCUGCUGAGAGAGGAAAUAUGUUAAUAUUUCAGUUUGAGGUUUCAUCUGCCUGUUUCUCUCAACAUAGGUGUUGCCAAUUCUGCUGAGUAUUUCCAGCAUUUUUAGCUUCUAUUUCAGAUAUCCGGUAUAAGUAAUACUUCACUUUUCCAAAACAAUUCUAGUCUGAUCAAUCAAGUCAGUUUAGUUUGUGUAACUGAAGUCAUCAUCACAAGGCAUUCAUCAAUAUUCCUGCAGAAUGGAUUUUAUCCGUUCAUGUUGUUGUUUGAGAGUCAUCCUGGUUGAAUUGAAGACCGGAGGUUUGUAGGGUCCUAUAGAAUGUAGGAGGUCUUGUGCAGUGUGCAGUGUCUGGCCCAGAGACAGGGACACUGUCAGUUGGUGUUCAGACCAGGACUUGAUUGUCAAGCAAGGUGAAUUCAUAAUAUCAGCCAACCUGAAAGCCCUGACAACACACGUUUCAAUGGCAGGCAGUAAGGAUAGGAGAGAUUCCUGGUCACGUGUGAUGGAAAGAACAUUAGAACUUCAACCAUCACUGUUGAUAGCUCUGGCCUACAAUCUGAAAGUGAAUGUGUAUGUUGCUGUAGCAAUUUGUACCUACUGAGUGAACUGUAACACACCACAUGGAUGUUGUCCAA